rnacentral:tRNA from 1 species
GCCGAAGUGGCGGAACAGGCAGACGCGCGCGACUCAAAAUCGCGUUCCGAAAGGAAUGUGGGUUCGAUUCCCACCUUCGGCA